AGAGUUUGAUCCUGGCUCAGGACGAAGCUGGCGGCAUGCCUAAUACAUGCAAGUCGAACGAGCUUCCGUUGAAUGACGUGCUUGCACUGAUUUCAACAAUGAAGCGAGUGGCGAACUGGUGAGUAACACGUGGGGAAUCUGCCCAGAAGCAGGGGAUAACACUUGGAAACAGGUGCUAAUACCGUAUAACAACAAAAUCCGCAUGGAUUUUGUUUGAAAGGUGGCUUCGGCUAUCACUUCUGGAUGAUCCCGCGGCGUAUUAGUUAGUUGGUGAGGUAAAGGCCCACCAAGACGAUGAUACGUAGCCGACCUGAGAGGGUAAUCGGCCACAUUGGGACUGAGACACGGCCCAAACUCCUACGGGAGGCAGCAGUAGGGAAUCUUCCACAAUGGACGAAAGUCUGAUGGAGCAAUGCCGCGUGAGUGAAGAAGGGUUUCGGCUCGUAAAACUCUGUUGUUAAAGAAGAACACCUUUGAGAGUAACUGUUCAAGGGUUGACGGUAUUUAAAUCAGAAAGCCACGGCUAACUACGUGCCAGCAGCCGCGGUAAUACGUAGGUGGCAAGCGUUGUCCGGAUUUAUUGGGCGUAAAGCGAGCGCAGGCGGUUUUUUAAGUCUGAUGUGAAAGCCUUCGGCUUAACCGGAGAAGUGCAUCGGAAACUGGGAGACUUGAGUGCAGAAGAGGACAGUGGAACUCCAUGUGUAGCGGUGGAAUGCUGGUAGAUAUAUGGAAGAACACCAGUGGCGAAGGCGGCUGUCUAGUCUGUAACUGACGCUGAGGCUCGAAAGCAUGGGUAGCGAACAGGAUUAGAUACCCUGGUAGUCC
rnacentral:rRNA from 2 species